rnacentral:rRNA from 1 species
AUACGGAGGGCGCGAGCGUUAUUCGGAAUCAUUGGGCGUAAAGCGCGUGUAGGCGGCUGGGUAAGUCGGAUGUGAAAGCCCGGGGCUCAACUCCGGAAUUGCAUACGAAACUGCCCAGCUAGAGUCCCGGAGAGGAGGGCGGAAUUCCCGGUGUAGAGGUGAAAUUCGUAGAUAUCGGGAGGAACACCAGCGGCGAAGGCGGCCCUCUGGACGGUGACUGACGCUCAGACGCGAAAGCGUGGGGAGCAAACAGGAUUAGAAACCCCUGUAGUCC